AUGCACGCUGGCGGCGUGCCUAAUACAUGCAAGUCGAGCGAACGGACGAGAAGCUUGCUUCUCUGAUGUUAGCGGCGGACGGGUGAGUAACACGUGGAUAACCUACCUAUAAGACUGGGAUAACUUCGGGAAACCGGAGCUAAUACCGGAUGAUAUUUUGAACCGCAUGGUUCAAAAGUGAAAGACGGUCUUGCUGUCACUUAUAGAUGGAUCCGCGCUGCAUUAGCUAGUUGGUAAGGUAACGGCUUACCAAGGCAACGAUGCAUAGCCGACCUGAGAGGGUGAUCGGCCACACUGGAACUGAGACACGGUCCAAACUCCUACGGGAGGCAGCAGUAGGGAAUCUUCCGCAAUGGGCGAAAGCCUGACGGAGCAACGCCGCGUGAGUGAUGAAGGUCUUCGGAUCGUAAAACUCUGUUAUUAGGGAAGAACAUAUGUGUAAGUAACUGUGCACAUCUUGACGGUACCUAAUCAGAAAGCCACGGCUAACUACGUG
rnacentral:rRNA from 1 species